rnacentral:rRNA from 1 species
UACGAGAGGCCCAAACGUUAUUCGGAAUUACUGGGCUUAAAGAGUUCGUAGGCGGCGCGGAAAGUAGGGUGUGAAAGCCCUCGGCUCAACCGAGGAAUUGCGCUCUAAACUACCGUGCUUGAGGAACCUAGAGGUGAGCAGAACUGAUGGUGGAGCGGUGAAAUGCGUUGAUAUCAUCAGGAAUACCGGAGGCGAAGGCGGCUCACUGGGGGUUAUCUGACGCUGAGGAACGAAAGCCAGGGGAGCGAACGGG